rnacentral:rRNA from 1 species
AGCGAACGUUUGCGGCGGGCCUAACACAUGCAAGUCGAACGCACUAGCAAUAGUGAGUGGCGCACGGGUGCGUAACACGUGGGUAAUCAACCCUUCAGCCUGGGAUAAUGACUCGAAAGGGUCGCUAAUACCGGAUACGGCGCGAGAGGCUUCGGCUUCUCACGAGAAAGCCACGCAAAGGGCACUGAAGGACGAGCCUGCGGCCCAUCAGCUAGUUGGUGAGGUAAGAGCUCACCAAGGCUAAGACGGGUAGCUGGUCUGAGAGGAUGAUCAGCCACACUGGAACUGAGACACGGUCCAGACUCCUACGGGAGGCAGCAGUGGGGAAUAUUGCGCAAUGGGCGAAAGCCUGACGCAGCCACGCCGCGUGAGCGAUGAAGGCCUUCGGGUCGUAAAGCUCUGUGGGGAGAGACGAAGAAAGCCUGUGAAGAGCAGGCCUUGACGGUAUCUCCUUAGCAAGCACCGGCUAACUCCGUG